UCUGCCUUUUUAAUAAACAAGUCUGGGGCGAACGCUGCAGCCGCAGUUGCCGUCUUGGUUUUCAGUAUGUAAACGUCGACUGGCACAGCACCGAUGCUAAUGCUAAGUUGCUAACAGCUGCUGGCAUUGAAGCUGACGGUGCCUACGGUACUUCAAAAACUUGGGCAUCGGCAUCGUUUUGUUAUGUUAGUAUCGAAAGGUAUCGUAGGUAUCGGUUCUCGUGACAUCCCUAAGAUGGCCCUACAACGUCUCCCAGCAAGCUACUCGACUCCAGCGUCAUCGUCACCCGGAAACAGGCUGACGCUCCGGUUCGACGUCACCUGAGCUAACAGGCUACCUCCGUCAGUGAACACCACCCGGGUCUGUGGAGAGGUUCACUCACAUCGGAUGUAUAAUACGCUUUGAAGUUCAGCUUGUUCUCCUGGCAUAGAGGCUAAAGACGUGUGAGCUCCCGUUUCUGAGGAACGGACGAGCCUGAAGGACACAGCUGUGCUGACCGUGUUCUGUCUGUUAUGGCAAAGAAGAAAAAGAAAACACUGGGUUCUUAUCUAAAGUGUAUCAAAUCAAGAAGCAAAAGAUAAACAUUGUUCUAAUAAGUGUUCAUUUGAAUAUAUAAUAUAUAAUGAAAAUAGAAAUAAACUCUUUUAUCCAUAACACUUAGCAAUGACUGCCAACUCUAAACAGUUGCAGGCCUUCUUUAGUUGGGGAGGAAAACACAAAGUGUUGUGCAGAUAAAGCUGGUGCAUGUCGCCUCAUGUUGAUAAUAAUAAAUGAUGCAAGUUAUUUGA